AGAUUAAUUACAAUGCAGUCAGUGGCGAACGGGUGAGUACACGUGGGAAACCUACCUCUUAGCAGGGGAUAACAUUUGGAAACAGAUGCUAAUACCGUAUACAAUUAGAACCGCAUGGUUCAAGUUUAAAGAUGGUUCUGCUAUCACUAGAGAUGGUCCCGCGGCGUAUUAGCUAGAUGGUGAGGUAAUGGCUCACCAUGGCAAUGAUACGUAGCCGAGUUGAGAGACUGAUCGGCCACAUUGGGACUGAGACACGGCCCAAACUCCUACGGGAGGCAGCAGUAGGGAAUCUUCCACAAUGGACGAAAGUCUGAUGGAGCAACGCCGCGUGUGUGAUGAAGGCUUUCGGGUCGUAAACACUGUUAUAAGAGAAGAACGUCAGUGAGAGUAACUGUUCAUUGAGUGACGGUAUCUUAUCAGAGAGGGACGGCUAAAUACGUG
rnacentral:rRNA from 1 species